rnacentral:rRNA from 1 species
AGUGAACGCUGGCGGCAGGCCUAAUACAUGCAAGUCGAACGGCAGCACGGCAGAGCUUGCUCUGUGGGUGGCGAGUGGCGGACGGGUGAGGAAUACAUGGGAAUCUGCCCAGUCGUGGGGAUAACGUAGGGAAACUUACGCUAAUACCGCAUGCGCCCUUCGGGGAAAGCCGGGGACCUUCGGGCCUGGCGCGAUUGGAUGAGCCCAUGUCGGAUUAGCUAGUUGGCGGGGUAAUGGCCCACCAAGGCGACGAUCCGUAGCUGGUCUGAGAGGAUGAUCAGCCACACUGGAACUGAGACACGGUCCAGACUCCUACGGGAGGCAGCAGUAGGGAAUAUUGGACAAUGGGCGCAAGCCUGAUCCAGCCAUGCCGCGUGAGUGAAGAAGGCCCUCGGGUUGUAAAGCUCUUUUGUCCGGAAAGAAAAGCGCCGGGUUAAUACCCUGGUGUCCUGACGGUACCGGAAGAAUAAGCACCGGCUAACUUCGUGCCAGCAGCCGCGGUAAUC